GCCUUUGCUUUGGUGCAAUAUGGAUAGCGCGUUGGACUUCUAAUCCAAAGGUCGUGGGUUCAAAUUCCACCUGGGGCG